CAGGGAGACAAAAACUGAUUUAUGAUGCCUAGCUAAAUUUAUGCUUAGGCCAUAAUCCUGUCACCUUAGGUCGAUCGGUACCUCAAAUACAUACCAAUUUAAUUGAGAAAUCAUUUAAAUAACUGGUCAAUGAUUUCAGUUCCUAAACUUGUCUAGGUCACACCCAACAAGGUUAAUCCUGGGCCAUUAGCUCAGGUGGUUAGAGCGCACCCCUGAUAAGGGUGAGGUCCCUGGUUCAAGUCCAGGAUGGCCCAUAUCUCUAUGUUGGGGGUAUAGCUCAGUUGGUAGAGCGCCUGCUUUGCAAGCAGGAUGUCAGCGGUUCGAGUCCGCUUACCUCCACUGAUUACCACCUCUUCCAUAACCGGUAGAAAGGAAAUGUUUUGAGUUGUGAUCAAAUUCUGAAAGAAUCUAGCUUCCUAAUGAAAUCAUUAAGAUGCUGGACUCAUUGAAUUAAUUUCAUUGUUUUCAGAGAACCUUGACAACUGCAUAGAUUAUUUUUAAAGACAAUAAGCAUCUUUAAUGAUGCAGAUUUAUUAUUUGUGCGAAUGCAUUAAUAACAAUUCUAUUAAGCUGAUGCUUCAAUUUUGAAGUUAUU
rnacentral:tRNA from 1 species